GUGUGUACCUUGGCAAGAGCCAUGCUCCACAGGCUUAGGAAAAUCUUGAGACCCUUAGCGACAAGACCAUAUCCACUAACGAAGAUAUUUAUAUCACUAUGUUCACCAUUUGCAAGGAACCCUCCACUCCAAUUUUCUACACGUUUAGUGGUGCUUUGAGUGGAGAGGAGUCAAAUUUAUGAUCUUGCAGUCUACUUUUUGAUACUUUUAAUAUUUUUCUAGAAUUAGAAGGUU
rnacentral:lncRNA from 7 species